CGUGUAGGCGGGGAAGUAAGUCGGGCGUGAAAUCCCUAGGCUCAACCUAGGAACUGCACUCGAAACUACUUCUCUUGAGUAUCGGAGAGGAAAGCGGAAUACCUGGUGUAGAGGUGAAAUUCGUAGAUAUCAGGUGGAACACCAGUGGCGAAGGCGGCUUUCUGGACGGUAACUGACGCUGAGACGCGAAAGCGUGGGGAGAAC
rnacentral:rRNA from 1 species